UACGGGGGGGGCAAGCGUUGUUCGGAAUUACUGGGCGUAAAGGGCGCGUAGGCGGUUCGUUAAGUCGGAUGUGAAAACUCUGGGCUCAACCCAGAGCCUGCAUCCGAAACUGGCGAGCUAGAGUUCUGGAGGGGGUAGCGGAAUUCCUGGUGUAGCGGUGAAAUGCGUAGAUAUCAGGAGGAACACCGGUGGCGAAGGCGGCUACCUGGACAGAAACUGACGCUGAGGCGCGAAAGCGUGGGGAGCAAACAGG
rnacentral:rRNA from 1 species